UCUGGUGGCGAUAGCGAAGAGGUCACACCCGUUCCCAUACCGAACACGGAAGUUAAGCUCUUUAGCGCCAAAGGUAGUUGGGACUUUGUCCCUGUGAGAGUAGGACGUUGCCAGGC
rnacentral:rRNA from 1 species